UCGGCGUGGUCGACCAGACGGCGCCGGGCCCGGCCGCUGCCGCCCGCCGCCAGCAGGAUCGGGAUCGGCCGGGCCGGUUUGGGACCGACCACGGCGGAC
rnacentral:tRNA from 1 species